AGUGACUGAGCCUGUAAAGACA
rnacentral:miRNA from 1 species